rnacentral:tRNA from 4 species
GGCCUGAUGGUCUAGGGGUAUGAUUCCUGCUUUGGGUGCAGGAGGUCCCGGGUUCAAAUCCCGGUCAGGCCC